AGAACAUGGCCCAGGAUCUGUUGCCAGAAAGAACUGAAGACAGAAUCCAAACUUAGGACCUUAACUUGGGGAAUGCUGCCCUCUCUAAUGGUGACCCCACGUGGAUCUUACCUGGGAGUAUUAGCAACCAUUUUGUCUUAUUUCUUCCUCAAGAGAGAUUUUCAAACGCCUUGCCAUUUGGCCAUCCUGUUAACACUGAGCUAGUUAAUUUUGCAGGGCAGGAUUGAAGAUGGGGUAAGACAGACAAUUCUCUGUGAAUACGGACUUCAUCGGUGCCAGGAAUGGCUUCCUGUCCACAAGUUCUCUCUACUUGCUUCCUUCUGAUUAACAUGCCCUUUCACACAGCCACCCAUGUUUGUCUCUAGCAACGUCCUUUGUCAGAAUGCAAACUCUCUGGGGAUAGUUGAAUGACUGUAGUAAGCACAGCCGGUAGCAGCUUCCUUCCCACCCCUUACCUCUGAUUUCCCUGUAAUAAAUUGAUUUGUAAAU
rnacentral:lncRNA from 1 species